rnacentral:rRNA from 1 species
UACAGAGGGUGCGAGCGUUGUUCGGAAUUAUUGGGCGUAAAGGGCGCGUAGGCGGUGCGGUAAGUCACCUGUGAAAUCUCCUGGCUCAACUGGGAGCUUGCAGGCGAAACUGCCGUGCUGGAGUGUGGGAGAGGUGCGUGGAAUUCCUGGUGUAGCGGUGAAAUGCGUAGAUAUCAGGAGGAACACCUGUGGCGAAGGCGGCGCUCUGGACCGAGACUGACGCUGAGGCGCGAAAGCGUGGGGAGCAAACAGG